CAAGUUCAUAUCUAUAGGUAUG
rnacentral:miRNA from 1 species